rnacentral:rRNA from 1 species
UGCAAGUCGAGCGGGGAAGGGUAGCUUGCUACCUAACCUAGCGGCGGACGGGUGAGUAAUGCUUAGGAAUCUGCCUAUUAGUGGGGGACAACGUUUCGAAAGGAACGCUAAUACCGCAUACGCCCUACGGGGGAAAGCAGGGGAUCUUCGGACCUUGCGCUAAUAGAUGAGCCUAAGUCAGAUUAGCUAGUUGGUGGGGUAAAGGCCUACCAAGGCGACGAUCUGUAGCGGGUCUGAGAGGAUGAUCCGCCACACUGGGACUGAGACACGGCCCAGACUCCUACGGGAGGCAGCAGUGGGGAAUAUUGGACAAUGGGGGGAACCCUGAUCCAGCCAUGCCGCGUGUGUGAAGAAGGCCUUUUGGUUGUAAAGCACUUUAAGCGAGGAGGAGGCUCUUCUAGUUAAUACCUAGGAUGAGUGGACGUUACUCGCAGAAUAAGCACCGGCUAACUCUGUGCCAGCAGCCGCGGUAAUACAGAGGGUGCGAGCGUUAAUCGGAUUUACUGGGCGUAAAGCGUACGUAGGCGGCUUUUUAAGUCGGAUGUGAAAUCCCUGAGCUUAACUUAGGAAUUGCAUUCGAUACUGGGAAGCUAGAGUAUGGGAGAGGAUGGUAGAAUUCCAGGUGUAGCGGUGAAAUGCGUAGAGAUCUGGAGGAAUACCGAUGGCGAAGGCAGCCAUCUGGCCUAAUACUGACGCUGAGGUACGAAAGCAUGGGGAGCAAACAGGAUUAGAUACCCUGGUAGUCCAUGCCGUAAACGAUGUCUACUAGCCGUUGGGGCCUUUGAGGCUUUAGUGGCGC